CUCUUUCAAUCUUCUCUGCAACAGAAUGAAAGCUUUUUUAGUUCGUUCGUUCUUUCUUGCAGAAAAUGAGAGUCUGAGUAUUAGGUCCGUUUGCCAAAAAGAGAGAUUGAGUAUUAGGUUCGUUUGAAUUGAACAGGUUAUGGUUUGGAGAUAUGGGAUGGAGCAUAAUCAAAAUUAUUCUUGUGAAAGAGACAAGCAUCAAGUUUUCUCCUCACAAAGAAGCGUUCACUACUGUAAUUGUUUUCAACCCUAAAACUAUUGUUGGAUGUUACGGAACUUGCAUUUCUGAAAGGUAAAUCUACUUUACUUAAUUAUUGCUAGACAAUUCAUUAUAGCUUCAUAAAAAGCAAACUAAAGAUCUAAAAUGUAAUCUUAUAAAUUUAAUAAAGCAUCAAAUAAAGUAAUGUGGGUAUUUCAGAUGUGAGUUUUUUAAAACAAGUUGGUAAAUUAACAUAAAAUAUCAACGCAACAAUUACUUUAACUAUAAAAAAAUUAUCAAAUUGAAUAAAGUGUUUUUAACCAUAUUUUAUAUUUUGAUAUUUUAAAAAGUUUUGCAAACAUGUAUCCAUUUUAUAGUGACAUUUGUUUUAUCCUUUCAAGUUUCAAUUGUUUUGUUUAAGGCAAGAAUCUCUAAUAUUAUGUACCACUGUU